rnacentral:tRNA from 1 species
GCCUGGGUGACUCAGUUGGUUAAGCAUCCGACUUCAGCUCGGGUCAUGAUCUCACGAUUCGUGGGUUCGAGCCCUGCUUCGGGCU